GGCCGCAGUAUUUUGACUGUGCAAAGGUAGCAUAAUCAUUAGUCUUUUAAUUAAGGGCUAGAAUGAAUGGUUGGACGAGGUAAAUUCUGUUUUAUAUUAAUUAAAUUUGAAUUUAAUUUUUAAGUAAAAAAACUUAAAUAUUUUUAAGGGACGAGAAGACCCUAUAGAGUUUAAUAAAUGUAGUAAUUAAUUGAGUUAUGGCUUGAUUUUUGAUUAUUAUGAAAUUUAUUUAAUUGGGGUGAUUAAAGUAUAAAUAAAACUCUUUUUAAUUUUUAAUAGUAUAUUUAGUUAAGUGAUCCAUAUUUAAUGAUUAAAAGAUUAAAUUACCUUAGGGAUAACAGCAUAA
rnacentral:rRNA from 1 species